AGUGAACGCUGGCGGUAGGCCUAACACAUGCCAGUCGAACGGCAGCACAGUAAGAGCUUGCUCUUACGGGUGGCGAGUGGCGGACGGGUGAGGAAUACAUCGGAAUCUACUUUUUCGUGGGGGAUAACGUAGGGAAACUUACGCUAAUACCGCAUACGACCUACGGGUGAAAGCAGGGGAUCUUCGGACCUUGCGCGAUUGAUUGAGCCGAUGUCGGAUUAGCUAGUUGGCGGGGUAAAGGCCCACCAAGGCGACGAUCCGUAGCUGGUCUGAGAGGAUGAUCAGCCACACUGGAACUGAGACACGGUCCAGACUCCUACGGGAGGCAGCAGUGGGGAAUAUUGGGCAAUGGGCGCAAGCCUGAUCCAGCCAUGCCGCGUGAGUGAAGAAGGUCUUCGGGUUGUAAAGCCCUUUUGUUGGGAAAGAAAAGCAGCAGGUUAAUACCCCGCUGUUCUGACGGUACCCAAAGAAUAAGCAACGGCUAACUUCGUG
rnacentral:rRNA from 1 species